rnacentral:lncRNA from 1 species
UCACACUGGUCCAUUAUAUUGUUGAUAUUAUGCUGAUUGGGCCCAGUGAGUGUCAGGCUCAAGCCAAGUCCUGAAGGUACAAGUAAGUUACAGGAGGAAAUGGCUUAAAUGCCUAUGGUUUUUACUCUGCCUUCUCUCCCCCACCCUGCACCGAUGACCUCCUCAGGAGUUCCUUAUGAUCAACUGACAGAAGAAGAGAAAACUAGGGCCUGGUUUACAGAUGGUUCAGCACAAUAAGCAGGCGUCAUCCGAAAGUGGACAGCUACAGCACUACAGCCCGUUUCCAGGACAUCCCUGAAGGAAAGUGGCAAGGGGAAAUCUUCCCAGUGGGCAGAUCUUCAAGAGUGCACCUGGUUCUGCACUUUUCUUGGAAGGAGAAAUGGCCAGAUGUGCAAUUAUAUACUAAUUCAUGGGCUGUAGCCAAUGGUUUGGCUGGAUGGUGAGGGACUUGGAAGAAGCAUGUUUGGAAAAUUGGUGACAAAUAAAUUUAGGGAAGAGG